GAAAGGCGGGCUAAACCCGCGUACAUGCCACCGGGGCAUCCCGGAGGCAGGAAAGGCUUCGGCCGGACAGGGAUGGGCAUGCGGCGCAUUAGGCAGUAGGCGGGGUAACGGCCCACCUAACCGACGAUGCGUAGGGGUUCUGAGAGGAAGGUCCCCCACACUGGUACUGAGACACGGACCAGACUCCUACGGGAGGCAGCAGUGAGGAAUAUUGGUCAAUGGUCGGGAGACUGAACCAGCCAAGCCGCGUGAGGGAGGAAGGUACAGAGUAUCGUAAACCUCUUUUGUCAGGGAACAAAGACUGGGACGCGUCCCCGGAUGAGUGUACCUGAAGAAAAAGCAUCGGCUAACUCCGUGCCAGCGGCCGCGGUAAUACGGAGGAUGCGAGCGUUAUCCGGAUUUAUUGGGUUUAAAGGGUGCGCAGGCGGUCUGUUAAGUCAGCGGUCAAAGCCCGGGGCUCAACCCCGGCCCGCCGUUGAAACUGGCAGUCUCGAGUUGGAGAGAAGUAUGCGGAAUGCGCGGUGUAGCGGUGAAAUGCAUAGAUAUCGCGCAGAACUCCGAUUGCGAAGGCAGCAUGCCGGCUCCACACUGACGCUGAGGCACGAAAGCGUGGGUAUCGAACAGGAUUAGAUACCCUGGUAGUCC
rnacentral:rRNA from 1 species